CGCCCCGCCCGGGAGGAGACAGAGCCGCGAUGCGUACAAAAGAACGGGCGCGCGACAACGUCCCUUUUGCGGGGUAUCCUGGAAAGCUACGCGAAAUUUUUCAAAGAAGAAAGCUGUUUCUAUCCAAGCAGGAACAUCCAACUUCAAAAUAAACACUAAGUGUAGAGGUUUUUAACUGAGGGUCCUGUGUUGGUACUUGAGACCCUAUACAAGCCUUUGAGCAAGGACUCCUAGAAGUGAGCAACACAUUGAAGAGAAGUAAGCAAGCAAGAUCAGAAACUGAACCAUGGAACUCAUGCCUCCUUUAAGGCAAAGAAGACUGUAGGCUUUUUCUGUUGAGUUUGUACUUGUAUUGGACACCUAGCCCAUGGUUAAACCCAAAGACUGUGGUAAAUACUGCAAUGGAUUCGGUUCCACACAGAAUGCUGGAAGGAAAAAGAAGUGAAGAAAUAAACUUCUCAUUAAUUUCCUGAGACUAUUUUUUCUGUUGAGAAGCAUGAAAUUAUACUGUAGCAUCAUCUUCUAUGUAUGGAAGGACAGAAUGAUUUCCUGUGGCAUCACUUUACUGUUGUUGACUGAAAGAAUGGGAAUAAAUUAUCACAGCAAAUAGACAGUGCAAUAGUCUUUCUGAUGAGAAACUUCAGUUGCUGAAAACAUUGGGAAUCUGCAAUUCUUUGUCAUAGGACUUAAACUCAUCUAACUUUUGAAAUAUGUUUUCUGCACUAGUUCUGCUGAAUCUGGACUGAAGAG